GAUGAACGCUGGCGGCGUGCUUAACACAUGCAAGUCGAACGGAACACCCUAGAAGGAGUUUUCGGACAACUGAUAGGAAUGUUUAGUGGCGGACGGGUGAGUAACGCGUGAGUAACCUGCCUUGGAGUGGGGAAUAACAGCUGGAAACAGCUGCUAAUACCGCAUGAAGCAGUUGAGUCGCAUGGCUCUGACUGCCAAAGAUUUAUCGCUCUGAGAUGGACUCGCGUCUGAUUAGCUAGUUGGCGGGGCAAUGGCCCACCAAGGCGACGAUCAGUAGCCGGACUGAGAGGUUGGCCGGCCACAUUGGGACUGAGACACGGCCCAG
rnacentral:rRNA from 1 species